UACGUAGGGGGCAAGCGUUGUCCGGAAUCAUUGGGCGUAAAGCGCGCGUAGGCGGCCCGGUAAGUCCGCUGUGAAAGUCCAGGGCUCAACCCUGGAAAGCCGGUGGAUACUGCCGGGCUAGAGUCCGGAAGAGGCGAGUGGAAUUCCUGGUGUAGCGGUGGAAUGCGCAGAUAUCAGGAGGAACACCGAUGGCGAAGGCAAUCCCCUGGGCCUGCACUGACGCUCAUGCACGAAAGCGUGGGGAGCAAACAGG
rnacentral:rRNA from 1 species